AGGACUUAUAAAUGAUGUUCCAUCGUCUCCAUCCUUUCUGGGAUCAUUAUCAUGCCAGGCACUGCCCCCUAUGGUCAUGGAGUUGAGAAACACCGUGCAGGCCCCUCCACCGCCUCCAAAACCUCCUCGAGUUUUCCAGCCCUUGACUUGACAGGGCUCUCCACCCUGACCUCCCAGAAUGAUUGGUCUACCGCCUUGAGGAACCGGGGCAGUGUCAUUCCAGCCUCCACCACCGCCUGAAAUCCACAGAGCCACACAGAUCUAUGAAUGCAGAGUGGCACAGCAAUUUCUCCAGAGAAAAUAGUCUCCUAUAAACAUCCCUGUUCCUCUAAAGCAGCUCCUGAUUUUCCAUUACGGCCGGGAAUGCUGGGAUCCCUGUCCAUCACUUCCUCUGGGGUUUCUGAUUGGCUGCUGUAGCCACGGCCUCCACCUCCAGCAGCAAUGAGUAGUGGAAUGUGGACACCAUUUACCACCUGUAACCAAUGGAAACAGGACGUUGUCACCUUGAAGACGUAGGUGCCUCCUCCUCCUCCACCACCUCCUCCCUUAAGCUGGGUCUUGUUGAUUGAUGGUCCUUGCUGUUCCUUGC